UUUUUUAAUUAUUUGACUUUAUCGGUUAUCAGGUAAAUAAAAUGCUGAUACAGAUAAUCUGCAAACUG